GAUGAACGCUGGCGGCGUGCCUAAUACAUGCAAGUCGAGCGAACAGACGAGGAGCUUGCUCCUCUGACGUUAGCGGCGGACGGGUGAGUAACACGUGGAUAACCUACCUAUAAGACUGGGAUAACUUCGGGAAACCGGAGCUAAUACCGGAUAAUAUAUUGAACCGCAUGGUUCAAUAGUGAAAGACGGUUUUGCUGUCACUUAUAGAUGGAUCCGCGCCGCAUUAACUAGUUGGUAAGGUAACGGCUUACCAAGGCAACGAUGCGUAGCCGACCUGAGAGGGUGAUCGGCCACACUGGAACUGAGACACGGUCCAGACUCCUACGGGAGGCAGCAGUAGGGAAUCUUCCGCAAUGGGCGAAAGCCUGACGGAGCAACGCCGCGUGAGUGAUGAAGGUCUUCGGAUCGUAAAACUCUGUUAUUAGGGAAGAACAAAUGUGUAAGUAACUAUGCACGUCUUGACGGUACCUAAUCAGAAAGCCACGGCUAACUACGU
rnacentral:rRNA from 1 species